UCAAGAACAGGCUGAACUGCUCUAGCUGUUGCUUCCAGAAGCUGAAAUCGAGCAUGAAAUAAACAACACGUCACCAAAUAUUGACAUAAAACAGAGUCAACAACAUGUUGAUACAUUAUGUGAACUAUAUGUUAUGGUUUAACACGAAUGAUAAUAAGAAGAAAAACCUCAAGUUGUGAUUCCUACCUGCGACCUUUGGAUUUACAAAGCCCGGCAGUCUAGUCCUUCC
rnacentral:lncRNA from 1 species